rnacentral:hammerhead_ribozyme from 1 species
CGACUCCUGAGGAGUCCCAUAAUAGGACGAAACGGCCGUCCAGUGC